rnacentral:rRNA from 1 species
UACGGAGGGUGCAAGCGUUAUCCGGAUUCACUGGGUUUAAAGGGUGCGUAGGCGGGCAGGUAAGUCCGUGGUGAAAUCUCUGAGCUUAACUCAGAAACUGCCAUGGAUACUAUUUGUCUUGAAUGUUGUGGAGGUAAGCGGAAUAUGUCAUGUAGCGGUGAAAUGCUUAGAUAUGACAUAGAACACCCAUUGCGAAGGCAGCUUACUACACAAAUAUUGACGCUGAAGCACGAAAGCGUGGGGAUCAAACAGG